rnacentral:rRNA from 2 species
ACUUUCGAUGGUAGGAUAGAGGCCUACCAUGGUGGUAACGGGUAACGGGGUGUUAGGGCACGACACCGGAGAGGGAGCCUGAGAAACGGCUACCACAUCCAAGGAUGGCAGCAGGCGCGCAAAUUACCCAAUCCCGACACGGGGAGGUAGUGACAAUAAAUAACGAUACGGGGUCCUUACGGGUCUCGUCAUUGGAAUGAGUACAAUUUAAAUCUCUUAACGAGGAACAAUUGGAGGGCAAGUCUGGUGCCAGCAGCCGCGGUAAUUCCAGCUCCAAUAGCGUAUAUUAAAGUUGUUGCAGUUAAAAAGCUCGUAGUUGAAUUUCGGGAUCAGUACGCUGGUCAUGCCUUUGGUAUGCACUGGUGUCACUGGUUUCUCCCUUCUGAAGAUCCGUGAUGUCAUUAAUUUGGUGUCGCGGGGAAUCAGGACUGUUACUUUGAAAAAAUUAGAGUGUUUAAAGCAGGCUCACGCUUGAAUACAUUAGCAUGGAAUAAUGAAAUAGGACGUUUGACCCUAUUUUGUUGGUUUCUAGGAUCGACGUAAUGAUUAAUAGGGAUAGUUGGGGGCAUUAGUAUUCAAUUGUCAGAGGUGAAAUUCUUGGAUUUAUUGAAGACUAACUACUGCGAAAGCAUUUGCCAAGGAUGUUUUCAUUAAUCAAGAACGAAAGUUAGGGGAUCGAAGACGAUCAGAUACCGUCGUAGUCUUAACCAUAAACUAUGCCGACUAGGGAUCGGAUGAUGUUAAUUUUAUAAUGACUCAUUCGGCGCCUUACGGGAAACCAAAGUGUUUGGGUUC